AAAGAUUGGAGGGAUUAGGGAUGAAAAUUCUAAGUGCUCUGUGAAGAACAGGUAAAAGAGCUCAAUGGGGACGUAUACCAGGUAUUUAUAGGCUACUGGAGAGAUAAGAUAAGCCCCAAGAGAAACAGCUGCAAUCCAGUGCCCCUACAGAAACGGGCAUUUCCGGGCGCCCGGAACCAUGUUCUGGGCGACCAGAACAUCCCGACUGCACAAACCGGGCUCCUCGGACUCUCCACUCGCGGUGUGCUGCGCCCGUAAAUGGCUCCGGCGGAACUCACCUACCGCCCUGCCACGCGUCGAAGCAAGCGAUAUUCACGAUUUCGAAUUUCCGGACCCACAUCUGGGCGCCCGGAACAUG
rnacentral:lncRNA from 1 species